rnacentral:tRNA from 2 species
GCAAUCCGACGCUUUCGUCCACUCAGCCAUCUCUCC